rnacentral:tRNA from 1 species
GCCGGUGUAGCUCAGUUGGUAGAGCAGCGCAUUCGUAAUGCGAAGGUCGCCAGUUCGAUUCCGGCCACCGGCACCA